UUUACUAUAGUAUUAUACAUAAAUUUUUUUCUAUAUUUUAAAAAAAUUUAACAUCUCAAAUGCAACUAUUUUCAAGAGUCUUACAUGUUACGCUAACAUUAUCAAUGUCACGUGUCACACUACAUUGUUAAUGCCACGUGACAUACUAAUAUUAUCAGUGUUACAUGCCAUGCAUGAACUUGACACAAAAACAACAAAAUAUUUAAC
rnacentral:lncRNA from 1 species